AGCGAACGCUGGCGGCAGGCUUAACACAUGCAAGUCGAACGGGCAUCUUCGGAUGUCAGCGGCAGACGGGUGAGUAACACGUGGGAACGUACCCUUCGGUUCGGAACAACUCUGGGAAACUGGAGCUAAUACCGGAUACGCCCUUAUGGGGAAAGGUUUACUGCCGAAGGAUCGGCCCGCGUCUGAUUAGCUAGUUGGUGGGGUAACGGCCUACCAAGGCGACGAUCAGUAGCUGGUCUGAGAGGAUGAUCAGCCACACUGGGACUGAGACACGGCCCAGACUCCUACGGGAGGCAGCGGUGGGGAAUAUUGGACAAUGGGCGCAAGCCUGAUCCAGCCAUGCCGCGUGAGUGAUGAAGGCCUUAGGGUUGUAAAGCUCUUUUGUCCGGGACGAUAAUGACGGUACCGGAAGAAUAAGCCCCGGCUAACUUCGUG
rnacentral:rRNA from 1 species